rnacentral:lncRNA from 1 species
AGGCUAACCCCCGAUCUCCACCUUCAUCCUGAUCGUCUCCUAAAAGGUCGUAUCCUCCGAUCGUAGCUGAUCGUAACCAUUCAAGUUAACGUGUCAAUUUACACCGACUUCUUUCCGUUCCUCUGCGGAUCGCCGGACUCCUCAGCUGAUCACAAGAGUUCUAUUUUUUCUGGACGCCGGAGCAUGGCGGAUAAAUUCAGCACAGAUUAACCCGUGCUGGAAAGGAAGUCGGGCACAGACACAAAAUAAAACAUCCGGCUUCUUUUCAAAAUAAA